AGUCUGUAAUAGGCGGUGGAGGUGACAGGGUGGCAGAGAUAGGCCCCUGUGACCUCAGGCCCCUCUCGGGCGGUCUGCAACAGGCGAGUGUCCACAGCACCUGCAGAAGAUCUCGGGGCCCUGGGUGGACCUCAGAGAGGCCUCCCAUUCGACUCCAGCUCUGGCUGCUCUCCUGGCCAGGACACCGCCUGUUCCCAGAACACCGCCUGCCCCAGAGGCCGUUCACCCUGGCCGGUCAGGCUGGGCCAGAGGGCAGGGGCCCAGCCCAGAAGCCAGGGGUGAAGAAAGAAAGCUGCCAGCUGGACGGCCCCACCGGGCCCCUCGGGCUGCAGGAGGCGGAUGCUGUGGGUGCUCAGAGAUGCGGGUCUGAAGAUGCAACAGGAUGCCUUUCGCAGCAAAGUCAGAGUGCGCGCCUGGACCCCACCCAGACCCCCGCACCUGCUGAGGAAUGAGGGCUUGGGCAGCGCUGCUCUGGAGGAGCCGCCCACAGAGCGCAUCCCACCACUGUUCAUAAAGGCCUUUUACGGCCCCGAAGGCCCGCGUGCGGGCCUGGCCCUUGGGGUGCUUCCCUUUGGGGGAGCCGCUGCAGAAGCCGCCCCGGGGGGGACCCUCCAGGCAGCACUGGAUGAGUGAUGUCCUGCUUGCCCAGAGGAUCGGCCCAGAUGCCUGGAGAUCUCCUGGGACAACCUUGCAAUAACUCACGGGCUGCUAACGAAGCAGGCUUGACCCGUCUGUCUCUGUGUGCGAGCAUCCGUCAGCAAAAAACCUGGAUCUGAGUGGCAUCAAGCUGACCACCUAGAGUCCUGAUCUCAUCCCAGUUCUGCAGGAGAACGUUGCAGGGAUUCUCUAGAAACUGCACUUGGAGCCAUGUGGCAUCAAGGACCCCCACCAGGAGGCCAUCCUGCCUGCCCUGAGCCGCUGCUCCCAGCUCAGGUCCACCAGCCUAGGUGGGAACCUCCUCUCCACGGUCGUGAUGGAGAAGCUGCUGAGUCACACAGCUGGGCUGCCCCGCUGAAAGGAUGAGUUUUAUCCCGGCCCCCGGCAGAGUCAGAGCUCUAGAGGACCUCGGCCUGGGGAUACUUGCCCAGCUGCAGGAGGAGCUGAUCGAGCUGAUGAGGGGCUUUGGAGGUCCAGGGCCAUCUGGCUUUGCUCCAGCCCGCGUCCUCGCUGGGGCAGUAAGACGUUCUAUCACGAGGAGUCGUUCUAUAUGAUUGCCGUCCACCUGUGUCGUUGGGUGUAUCGGUCCAAAGCACUUCUGGGCACUUGGGUUCUGAAAUCCAGGUCGGGCACCAUGUCAAGGGAACACAGACCCAUGAUAAAUGGCGGGGACCCUGGCAUGAGUGUUUCUCAUGGUUCCCCUGGUGCUCCCAUUAGUCUCAGCUUCCGGGCAUCGUGUGUCCCGGGAGAGGGUCUUGACAAGGUCCCCAGUUCUGGAAGGUGUCGUCCACUUGGCCAAAGAGUGUUACCCUCUCAUCUUCACCAACCUGUGCCUGUCAUGAGUGGGUGGUUGUCCUAUGUGAGUCAAUCUACUUGUGGCCAGGAGAGAGACCCCCCCCCAAAAAAAAUACUCAAAUAGUGUAGUCAGGGAGUUCCUGCUGUGGCUCAGCGGUUAAUGAACCUGACUAGUAUCCAUGAGGACUCAGAUUCGACGCCUGGCCUCCCUCAGUGCAUUCAGGAUCCAGUGUUGCCAUGAGCUGUAGGUCACAGAUGCAGCUCGGAUCUGGCGUGGCUGUGGCUGUGGUGCAGGCCGGCAGCUGCAGCUCCAAUUCGACCCCUAGCCUGGGAACCUCCAUAUGCCACGGGUGCGGCCCUAAAGCCACAAAAGACAAAAGAAAAAAAAAAAUAGAAUAGUCAU
rnacentral:lncRNA from 1 species